UGAACAUGCCACUAAGCAUGAUUCUUGGAGGCAACUUCUUGACCUUAAUGUCUCCACUUCAAAGCUUGGAGCCAAUUGAUGUUACAAGCAACAAUGGCAGAGUGGAGACGUUUCACUGCACCCAGAUGCAGAACGAGAGGCAUGGAGAGAUGUGCUGAUUCCAUUCCGUCAUCUCAGGUUCCGUGUGCGAUGCUUCAGAGAGAGAAUCUCUCUCUUUCUCCACCGCCCACGCUGCACCCCGAGAGGACGCACACGUACAGAUCAUGGCAUCGAGUCGUUGUUCCCGAGAGAUGGUAUGUCACAGGUGAUAUGCUCGUCAAGAAGACAACCUAUUGCAGACCCCGAAGAAGCUUAAACCACAAGUCUCCCUGCGCCGGAAAAGGAGAUUUGAAUGACACAGAAGCAAUGGAAGGAAGCUGUUCGUGCUAUAUUCUAUGUGGAGGUGACUGUGGAUGACUAUAUUCCGCCUGACAAGGAUGCGUUUGAGCCAUAGAACUUGCCAAUGGAUGUGAAGGAUGUGGUUCACUGUGCUCUUUUCUCUUUUGAUAUGUUCUGGUGCUAAAUUCCUUCAUCGUUUCACUGUAGCCUUCCUUGGCUCUCUUUUCUCUCUGAUGCCUUGUGCCAAAUGCUUGCAUCUUUUUCCAUGUGAUGUUGCAACUGUUUCUUAGCUUUCGGCGUCGUGCCAUUCCUCCUCGACCUCACUUUGUCUUCUCCAUCACCAAAACUUGCUUCAUUUGGCCGCCGUGCGGAUGUUAGAUGCAUAAAUGAGCAACGUUUCUGGAUGAGUGUUGUCAGAAUAGAUUUCGCUUCACGGUGACGCCCAACGUCAAGAAUAAGUUUUAGGCUUGUCAUUCGGCGUCUCAUCGAGCCAAUUGGUACUAUGUUUGAUCCGAGAGGAGCUCAGCAAA